rnacentral:lncRNA from 1 species
AUGGUUUCAGACAUUCUCUGUGCGCUCUGUGGACUGAUCAUUUUGACUGUUGCGAAUUUAAACGGAGUGAAUGGUCAAAAAAGCCAAUGUAGCAGUUCAGAAUUCUGGAGUACAGACAUAGAUGAGUGUGUAUCCUGCUCAACAUGCCAGAAGUAUCCAAAGACACCUUCAUGUAACACUUGCAAAUUGCCUAAGGAGCCGUCUGAUGAUAUAUGGAAACUGGCAGCUAUUUCCAGCUUCUCCGUGCUGGCAGUGGUUCUGGUUGCUGUAGUAUUGAUCAUUGGAGUCAUGCUGCAUCAACGCAAAGCACAGAGAAGACCCCUUUGUGAACCUAUUGAAGAGACAACAGGACCUCUAUAUCAAGCGUAGACAUUUCAGUAGCCUCUUCUUCCUCCUGACCUGGAUUUGACAGAAUCAAGGGAAUCUCUUUGGAUGACCAAUCAAGUUUCUGUACAAUAGACUGUACUCUGACCAAAGGGUAUUAUUUGAGUAGAGUUGGGACAUUGUUUAAUUUAUUGUUCUGUUAGUAAACAUGUUCAUACACUCAGUAUAAAGACUGUUACUGAACGGACCUCCACUUGACUGUGUUACCUUGCGCUGUCAAUCGCCAGUCUUGUAUGCAGCCAGAGAUAACUGAUGCUGUUUUCUGGAGGAAGAUCAUGUGAUUUGGAAAGUAGCUCUUAAAGCUUUUUGCAUUGAUGACCUUUUAGUGGUGAUCCUAAUUUUAGCUUGUGUAGAAUACAAUAAUCGAACGAUUGGUAAUUUGUUCAAUCAAUACGUAGUUUCAAAAACAGUCAAAAGUUGACAGCUUAAUGCUGUUAUUGUUCUAAUGCUAAUUUUCAGUGCUUGGACACCUCUUGGUGUCACAAUACUGUAAAUCUAGGUUAUUACAUUGAAUACCAGCUACAGUACCAUACUGCCUCGACUUGCCAGCAGCAGGAUAACCGUGAAUACAGCACAUUUGUGCUUUCUGGGCCAGGUCUGACCUACUGUACUUCUAUAAGACUAAAAGGUUUCUAUUUGCUGGUCAUAUAUAAUAACCUCUUAGUAACGAAGUAUGCAAGUGAUAUGUUAGAUUAUAAAAUAACUUUUGGGCACAUUUGGGCCAGUUGAAUGUACUUUUUGGGCAAUUUAAUUCUUUUUCCAUGUAGAAACUAUAUGCACUUAUAUUUAUAGAGUUUGAAAUUUGUAACUAAUAAUUUUUUUAAGAAGCAGGAUGGUUUUAGGAUAGUCUGGGAAAGAUGUAGAUGCAGAAAGUAAAAAGCAUAAUUGGUCAUUUUCCAUAAUCAAUUAGAGCUCUAAAAGAUCUGAGUUGGUUCUCAUGGUAAGAUGAAUUGGCUGUAUUUACCUUUAAAACGAUUGCUUACUGUUGUCUUCCAAUUAAGAGGCAAAAGGAAAAAGCAUUCAGUGAAUAUGAAACUACUCACAAGUAUGGGAAUGCUCAUUUACCAUGUAGUGUUGUGUGUGAACACUUCAUGGGAUACGUAGCGUCUGGGUUCCUACACUGUAAUGAUGGAAAAGUUCAAGAUGGUCCAGGAUUCUCCGAGGAUGUUUUUAUAGUUUACCUUCAACCAUUCCCAGCUGGACACAGGGAAUCUGUUGCGCUGUGCUCUCUCUCGUACUCUAGCGUUGAGACAUUGGAGAAGAUCAUUUCUGGAUUCUCUUUCUCACGUGCUCUAGCAUUGAGACAAUUGAGAUUGAUCAAUUCUGGGGUCGCAGAAUGUUUGUAACACUAUUAGUCACCAACUGUUAAACCCGGAACAAAUACUAGUUUAGGGGGGGGGGGAUCAAACCACAUUGACUAGUAUGUCCAUGGUAUUAACUAGCUAGCCCCGUUUAUACUACCCUUUAACAUGCGUCCUUCACCCAAAUCUUGUCUGUUUAAAAGUAUUAUAUAUGGUCACUGUGAGUCACUGAUUGCCUGAACCUGUCUAAAAUCAUGGGCGCAAUCAGAAUUUGGUCCAGACGAGAAUCAAGGACACAUUACAAUCAGUUAUAAACUGGGCUAUUACGUACUCUGAACGCGGAUGGCUGAUUGAUUGGUUAUUUCAUUUUACAGAAAACAAAUUAGCAAUAUUAAGUAAAUAUAAAUGGGCAUGAACAAGGGCAAUUUGACAAAUUUUAUAAAGACAACUUUUGUAUCUAUUUAUUUAUUUUGAAUUAAAUAUUUUAAAAUGUUUAUCAUUGUGGUCACAGAUAAAUGUAUGGAUGCAGUUGAAGGGACCCAUGUAAAGUGGUUUGUAAAAACCUUGUGACAUCCACUGACCAACUUCAUUUGUUACUGAGCAAUAACUAACAUUUGUUUGUGUAGAUAAUCAACUGUUCUUGUCUGUUUGAUUUAUGUACAUGGACUUUGGAAGUAAUUAGUAAUGUUACCAGUGAAUUUAUCUUUGACUUUUGUUAAUAAAAACACUGCCUAAAGAUGGCUAUAACUGGUUUGAAUGAAUCUGAGCCCAAGUACAACUGUGUGUAAGAGACAGCCAGGUUUGGAACCAAUUACUACUGUGGAGAAAAAUCUUGGUUUGGAAAAAGGUUCAGCAUAAAGUUUAGUUUAAAAUGUUCAGAAGAUGGGUUCCAAUUUAAACCUUGAAAUGGC